CGCAUCUGUGCAUGCAGCAUAUCAAUAAGCGGAGGAAAAGAAACUAACAAGGAUUCCCCUAGUAACGGCGAGUGAAGCGGGAAGAGCUCAAAUUUGAAAUCUUAAAGGGUUUCCCUUUACGAAUUGUAGUUUAAAGAAGUGUUUUCUGUUGAGGUUUUGGUAAAAGUUCUUUGGAAUAGGACAUCAUAGAGGGUGAGAAUCCCGUAUUUGACCUUUACUUUCAACUUUGUGAUACACUUUCAAAGAGUCGGAUUGUUUGGGAAUGCAGUCCAAAAUGGGUGGUAAAUUUCAUCUAAAGCUAAAUAUUGGCGAGAGACCGAUAGCGAACAAGUACCGUGAGGGAAAGAUGAAGAGAACUUUGAAAAGAGAGUUAAACAGUACGUGAAAUUGUCAAAAGGGAAGCGUUUGACACCAGUGUUGUUUUUCUGAAAAUCAAUUAAAGAACUGUUUAUGCUAAGCUGUUUAGACUUUAUCAGCUAUCUGUUUAGUUUUGAGCUUUUCUUUAAUGCACUUUUCAGUUAACAAGUCAACAUCAAUUUCUUUUGCUGUAAAAAAGCUUGAGGAAGGUGGCUUGAGAUUCGUCUUAAGUGUUUAUAGCCUCUUGCCUAUGCAGUCGGAGAGAUUGAGGUCUGCAGGCGUAGAUCCUUCGGGGCUAAAUGCAUUUGUGCUAAGUUAUAGCAUUUUAUAGACAACUUGUUGACUAUGAUUUGUCUUGUAGCUUACUCGCUUAUGUUAUUUUACCUACGCUUAGGAUGUUGAAUCUGUGCGAGACUAC
rnacentral:rRNA from 1 species